UCCUGAUAGCUCAGUUGGUAAAGAAUCCGCCUAUGAUGCCGGAGAUCCGGGUUCAAUUCCUGGGUCAGGAA
rnacentral:tRNA from 1 species